rnacentral:pre_miRNA from 1 species
AUAUUGGUAGAGUAUGGAGGACUGGUUUUGUCGUCAUGUUGUCUCAAAUUGUCUCAAAUUUGACUACAAAAACAGUCCUCCAUACUCUACCGAUAU